rnacentral:rRNA from 1 species
GACGAACGCUGGCGGCGUGCCUAAUACAUGCAAGUCGAGCGAGCGGAACUAACAGAUUUACCUCGGUAAUGACGUUAGGAAAGCGAGCGGCGGAUGGGUGAGUAACACGUGGGGAACCUGCCCCAUAGUCUGGGAUACCACUUGGAAACAGGUGCUAAUACCGGAUAGGAAAGCAGAUCGCAUGAUCAGCUUUUAAAAGGCGGCGUAAGCUGUCGCUAUGGGAUGGCCCCGCGGUGCAUUAGCUAGUUGGUAAGGUAAAGGCUUACCAAGGCGAUGAUGCAUAGCCGAGUUGAGAGACUGAUCGGCCACAUUGGGACUGAGACACGGCCCAAACUCCUACGGGAGGCAGCAGUAGGGAAUCUUCCACAAUGGACGCAAGUCUGAUGGAGCAACGCCGCGUGAGUGAAGAAGGUUUUCGGAUCGUAAAGCUCUGUUGUUGGUGAAGAAGGAUAGAGGUAGUAACUGGCCUUUAUUUGACGGUAAUCAACCAGAAAGUCACGGCUAACUACGUG